GAUGCUCUUCCGAUGUGGGAAGCGGUGCAGAUGACAAAGAUAAGGGACAAAAUCCAGGCUCACGCAAAGUGCCAUGGAACCCAAGGAGCAGGGGUAAUGGGUGAGGAGGAGCAGGGAGGCAGAGCAGUGGCUUCUGGGCUAGAACUUAAAGAACAUAAGGAAGAGUGGAGAUCGGAUACAUUCCAGGUGGGAACAACAUAAGCUAAGCCAUUUAGGGUCA